rnacentral:tRNA from 1 species
GGAGGAUUCGCCUAGUGGCCUAUGGCGCCGUCUUGGAAAGGCGGUUGGGUUAACGCCCUCGGGGGUUCGAAUCCCCCAUCCUCCGC